rnacentral:rRNA from 1 species
AACGAACGCUGGCGGCAUGCCUAACACAUGCAAGUCGAACGAGACCUUCGGGUCUAGUGGCGCACGGGUGCGUAACGCGUGGGAACCUGCCCUUAGGUUCGGAAUAACUCCCCGAAAGGGGUGCUAAUACCGGAUAAUGUCUUCGGACCAAAGAUUUAUCGCCUUUGGAUGGGCCUGCGUUGGAUUAGCUAGUUGGUAGGGUAAACGCCUACCAAGGCGACGAUCCAUAGCUGGUCUGAGAGGAUGAUCAGCCACACUGGGACUGAGACACGGCCCAGACUCCUACGGGAGGCAGCAGUGGGGAAUAUUGGACAAUGGGCGAAAGCCUGAUCCAGCAAUGCCGCGUGAGUGAUGAAGGCCUUAGGGUUGUAAAGCUCUUUUACCCGGGAUGAUAAUGACAGUACCGGGAGAAUAAGCACCGGCUAACUCCGUG